rnacentral:rRNA from 1 species
CACGUAGGGGGCAAGCGUUGUCCGGAUUUAUUGGGCGUAAAGAGCUCGUAGGUGGCUGAGUAAGUCGGGUGUCAAAUCCCCAGGCUCAACCUGGGACUCCACUCGAUACUGCUCUGGCUAGAGUCCGGUAGGGGAGCAUGGAAUUCCUGGUGUAGCGGUGAAAUGCGCAGAUAUCAGGAGGAACACCAGCGGCGAAGGCGGUGCUCUGGGCCGGAACUGACACUGAGGAGCGAAAGCGUGGGUAGCAAACAGG